UACUUUUCAAACUUUCUACAAGACUGGCCCUACGUGACCUUACUCUCUGCCUUCCUUGUCCCUUUCCUUUCUUUCUCCUUCUUUUCUCUCCUCACUUGAGUGUGUGGCACAGAUGGGACUCAUAGACAAUUACGUUUAAUUGCUUGAGUUUGAUCCUUUGUUGUGUUCGUUCCAUUAAUUCUACUUCUUUGCAAGUCUUUUCCCUUGAUGAUCUGUUUUUUUUUUAAUAAAAAAAGAAGAAAACUAAAAAAAACAUUGACCGAUCAUAGCUUAGGUUAAUUAUAUUUGUUGUUGGAAGCGAGCUGGUAUCAUCCAUGGAGGCGUCUAAGUGAUUAUCCUGAACCUUUCAUUCGUUUGUUUCUUUGCUAGCUGGAUUCAAUACAGAGCUAAAGGCCUUCUCCAUUUCAUUGAGCAAUCAGUACCAGUGCUUUUCCCACAUAUUUUCUCAAGUUAAGCCGUUUGUUUUCACUCAAACUAUCUCCGGACCAGUUGUUGAUUUUGGAUCAUUUCCCAAUUGAGGACGGAAGACUACGGGGAUUGAAGCAGACUUCAAGACGUAAGAACCUGCUCUUAUAUCAUGCAAAGAAAAAGAACAGAUCAGAGUUGCUAAACAUGAAAAGAGAACAAGAGCUAAAGCUGCAUAAAUUAGCAGCUUAAUAAAAAGAAAACAAUUUUAUUGUGAUGAUUUGGAAAUAAAAGAGAAUAGAAAAAGACAACAAAACUCUUGGAGGCUUAGAAGUAGGUAUAAAUAAAUGAACGGUAUUGUAGUAAUUGAACAAAGAGUUCAUAAAUAUAAAUAGAAAAAAAAAAGAGAUUUGAAUUCUUAGAGAAAAAACCGUGAGAGUGAAAAAAGAAAAAGAGAAAAGAGGAAAAGAUAAAGAAAGGAUAAGAGAGUUAGAGAAAAUAAAUUAAAAGGUAAGAAUAUUUACGCUUUGAUGUGUAUAAAUGUGUUUUUCUUAGCUUUAAUUUUCUAUUUUGUUGAAUAUUAGGGUUUUGAAGAUUGUGUUUUGGGUUUGAUUGAUGAAUUGAUUUGAAUAUUAUGUAUUGAUUGUUAUGAAUAAUGAGUUAUUUAGUUGAUUUGAAAGAUUUUAAGUAAAAA